UGGGGAAUUUUGGACAAUGGGCGAAAGCCUGAUCCAGCAAUGCCGCGUGUGUGAAGAAGGCCUUCGGGUUGUAAAGCACUUUUGUCCGGAAAGAAAUCCUCUGGGUUAAUACCUCGGGGGGAUGACGGUACCGGAAGAAUAAGCACCGGCUAACUACGUGCCAGCAGCCGCGGUAAUACGUAGGGUGCAAGCGUUAAUCGGAAUUACUGGGCGUAAAGCGUGCGCAGGCGGUUUUGUAAGACGGAUGUGAAAUCCCCGGGCUUAACCUGGGAACUGCAUUCGUGACUGCAAGGCUAGAGUAUGGCAGAGGGGGGUAGAAUUCCACGUGUAGCAGUGAAAUGCGUAGAGAUGUGGAGGAAUACCGAUGGCGAAGGCAGCCCCCUGGGCCAAUACUGACGCUCAUGCACGAAAGCGUGGGGAGCAAAACAGGAUUCAGAUACCCUGGUAGUCCACGCCCUAAACGAUGUCAACUAGUUGUUGGGGAUUCAUUUCCUUAGUAACGUAGCUAACGCGUGAAGUUGACCGCCU
rnacentral:rRNA from 1 species